rnacentral:tRNA from 1 species
UCCCUAGAGGUCCAGUGGUUAGGACUCCACACUUCCACUGUAGGGGGCAUGGGUUCAAUUCCCGGUCGGGGAA